GUGUAUCGGUGUGUGUGUCAAUGUGUGUCUGUGUGCAUCUGUGUGUCAGAUACAUACACACACACACACACACACAGAUACACAUUGACACACGGA